rnacentral:rRNA from 1 species
AAAAAAAAAACGCCCCCCCCCAAAAAAAAAAGGGCGCGUUGGAAAAAAAAAAAUUCCCCCCCCCCAAAAAAAAAAGGGGGCCUGUUUUAAAAAAAAAAGAGUUUCCCCCCGGAAAAAAAAAAACGGGGGGGUCUUGUUUUAAAAAAAGGGAAAAAUUUUUUCUUGUUUUUGGGGCCCCGGGGGGGGGGGUUUCUUAUGGGGGGGAAAAGAAACCACAGGGGAUGCCUUCAGAAAGGGGGAUUGAAGGGGCAAAGGUUAAAAUUUGAAUUCUUUCGGGGGGGGGUUUUAGAGGGCGGGUUCGGUUAGGAAAAGUAAUUUAAGUCCAUUGGAAAAUGGCGCCAUGGAGGGUGAUAGCCCCGUAAAAGUAUCCCUUUUCCUUUUAUCCUUUCCCUCCAAAGAGUCGAGUUGUUUGGGAAUGCAGCUCUAAGUGGGUGGUAAAUUCCAUCUAAAGCUAAAUAUUGGCGAGAGACCGAUAGCGAACAAGUACAGUGAUGGAAAGAUGAAAAGCACUUUGAAAAGAGAGUGAAAAAGUACGUGAAAUUGUUGAAAGGGAAGGGCUUGCAAGCAGACACAACCUCGGUUGGGCCAGCAUCGGAGUGGGGGGAGACAAAAAAGAAAAGGAAUGUAACUCAUUCAAUUUUAAAACCCUUUUCCCAAAUCUUCCACCCCUUCCCAAGCCCGGCAUUUUUCCAGGGUGCCUGCCUUACCGUUGCGAGUCUCCCGUCUUGGACAAAGAAAAUUUUGGGGGGGGUUAAAAAAACCGGGGGAAAAAUUUUUCUCCCCUAUUAACCAGAGACGCCCCCGCUUUUUUUUUUAACGGGGGGAAACUUUUCUCUCUUUUUUUAAAAAAAAAGACAACGUUUUUUUGGAAAGAGGGGAAUCUUUUUUUUUUAUAAAAAGGCAGAACUUUUUUUCUAAGAAGAAGAAUACUUGUUCUUGUAAAAAAGUAACCGAAGCCUAAA